AACAAUGCAGAAAAGAAAGGAAAAUCAGUGGCAAAAGGAAAAAAAAGAAGGCUACUUCGAUCUAUAAUCAUUUCUCAAGAUAACAUAGGAUUAAGCAUAAUUAAGCUUAUGUCUUUUUACGAUACCAAUCGAGGUAAUGCCGUAAAAUAGAGAGAUAAUUUGGAAUAUGAGUAGUGUGAUGAUGUUAAUUAACGUAGUUUGUUUUAGAUGGUGUUGUUAUGUAGAAUUGUAGGUAAGGGAGGCAGGGGGAACAGGGAGUACACAGAAAUCCAAAUAGAGAAAGAAAACAGGUGAUUUGAAAAGGUGAAUGAAAGACAAGCGUCAUCAACAGGGUUAUGGGUCUCUAUAUGUAUAUGCAAGUUAGCUGAUUGCUUAUUGUAUUGUGUAUGUUGAAGUAAGGGUUAUAACGCUUAGGUUUGGACAAGUUCUGGGAAAAAUAAAAUAUGAAAUCUUGCAUAAAAGACAAACCAAACUAAAAUUAAUAAACCCAAACUGAAACUCAAACAAAUACUACUAUUGGAAUAGGUUUUAUUUUAUUUUUCAACCCUAUCCUCUAAGUCUGUCAACAAGGACUGAAGCUGAGGCAAAUGCAGCACUGAAAUGCCUUUAGUUGUCUGACUCUCUCUCUCUCUCUCUCAUGUUUGCUAUUAUGCAGUUAAGUCAGCAUCAGCAUUGACGCCAUGGGUUACCCUUUUUAACUGAGCG
rnacentral:lncRNA from 1 species